rnacentral:rRNA from 1 species
UGGGGAAUAUUGCACAAUGGAGGGAACUCUGAUGCAGCGACGCCGCGUGAACGAAGAAGGCUUUCGAGUCGUAAAGUUCUUUUAUAUGGGAAGAUAAUGACGGUACCAUAAGAUAAAGCCCCGGCUAACUACGUGCCAGCAGCCGCGGUAAUACGUAGGGGGCUAGCGUUGUCCGGAAUCACUGGGCGUAAAGGGUUCGCAGGCGGAAAUGCAAGCCAGGUGUAAAAGGCAGUAGCUUAACUACUGUAAGCAUUUGAAACUGCAUAUCUUGAGAAGAGUAGAAGUAAGUGGAAUUUUUAGUGUAGCGGUGAAAUGCGUAGAUAUUAAAAAGAAUACCGGUGGCGAAGGCGACUUACUGGGCUCAUUCUGACGCUGAGGAACGAAAGCGUGGGUAGCAAACAGG